GAUGAACGCUGGCGGCGUGCCUAACACAUGCAAGUCGAACGAAGCACUUAUCUUAGAUUCUUCGGAUGAAGAGAUAUUUGACUGAGUGGCGGACGGGUGAGUAACGCGUGGGUAACCUGCCUCAUACAGGGGGAUAACAGUUAGAAAUGACUGCUAAUACCGCAUAAGCGCACGAAGACGCAUGUUUUUGUGUGAAAAGCCGAGACGGUAUGAGAUGGACCCGCGUCUGAUUAGGUAGUUGGUGAGGUAACGGCCCACCAAGCCGACGAUCAGUAGCCGACCUGAGAGGGUGACCGGCCACAUUGGGACUGAGACACGGCCCAAACUCCUACGGGAGGCAGCAGUGGGGAAUAUUGCACAAUGGGGGAAACCCUGAUGCAGCGACGCCGCGUGAAGGAAGAAGUAUUUCGGUAUGUAAACUUCUAUCAGCAGGGAAGAAAAUGACGGUACCUGACUAAGAAGCCCCGGC
rnacentral:rRNA from 1 species